GAAAUUGUCUUUUUCUAGCCCAAGACUAUGCGGUGGUUAAAUGUACACCUCCAGAAAAACCCAACAAAUCUCAUUCUUUCUUUUGUUCUUCCUUCCAGAAGGGCAAGAAAUGCAGCAAGACCAAGAAAUCCCCAGAACCAGUCCGAUUUACUUAUGCAGGAUGCUCCAGUGUGAAGAAAUACCGGCCCAAAUACUGCGGCUCCUGCGUGGACGGCCGGUGCUGCACACCUCUGCAGACCAGGACCGUGAAGAUGCGGUUCCGGUGCGAAGAUGGCGAGAUGUUCUCCAAGAACGUCAUGAUGAUUCAGUCCUGCAAGUGUAACUACAACUGCCCGCAUCCCAACGAGGCGUCGUUUCGCCUCUACAGUCUGUUCAACGAUAUCCACAAGUUCAGGGACUAAAGGUCUCCUGGGUUUCUAGUGUGGGUCGGACAGAGGUGUUGAGCAUCGUGGAGACGUGGGCAGACGGUGGGCGAACAGUGCCUUGCUCAUCAUCAAGUAGGAUUAAGGUGUUUCAAAACUGCCGUAGGGGCUGCUGCUAUGGAUGGACAGUAACGCAGUCGCAGUUGGAGAAUACUUCGCUUCAUAGUACUGGAGCCCGGGUUACGUACGCUUCAUAUUGGAGCAUGUUUAUAGAUGAUGUUCUGUUUUCUGUUUGUAAAUUAUUUUGCUAAGUGUUUUUUUUCUUUUUUUUUUUUUUUUUGCUCCAUUUCUCCCCCUCCCCCCUUGGUUCUACAAUUGUAAUAGAGAUAAAAUAAGACUAGUUGGGUCAAGUGAAAGCCCCGCUUGUCCUUUGACAGAAGUAAAAUGAAAGGCCUCUCCUGCCUUCCCCAGUGGAGGCGGGGGACACUCUGUGAGUGCCCUUGAGGCUACUACCUGCACUCUAAACUGCAAACAGAAACCAGGUGUUCUAAGAUUGAAUGUUUUUAUUUAUCAAAAUGUAGCUUUCGGGGAGGGAUGGGGAAAUGUAAUACUGGAAUAAUUUGUAAAUGAUUUUAAUUUUAUAUCAGUGAAGAGAAUUUAUUUAUAAAAUUAAUCAUUUAAUAAAGAAAUAUUUACCUAA
rnacentral:lncRNA from 1 species